rnacentral:rRNA from 1 species
UACGUAGGGUGCGAGCGUUGUCCGGAAUUAUUGGGCGUAAAGGGCUCGUAGGCGGUCUGUUGCGUCAGGAGUGAAAACUCGGGGCUUAACCCCGAGCCUGCUUCUGAUACGGGCAGACUAGAGGUAUGCAGGGGAGAACGGAAUUCCUGGUGUAGCGGUGAAAUGCGUAGAUAUCAAGAGGAACACCUGAGGCGAAGGCGGGUUGCGAGGCUGACACUGACGCUGAGGCGCGAAAGCCAGGGGAGCAAACGGG